CCUUGCGUAACCCUGAAAAAAAAUGGAAAUAUUUCGCAGUUUGUUAAAGAAAAAGGAAAAUAAAUAAAAAUUCAAACCUUGUUACUGUGCAAUGUGCCCGAAUCUACGAGAGCCUGAUGCAAGAUGAUGAGCUCACCUGUGUCAAGCAAAAGACCACCUGGGAAUGUCAUACCGUAAGGGCAAUUCCCAUUUGCCUAUGUAAAGGAAUAAAUACAGGAACUCACUAUGCCAAACUUUAGUGAUCUAAACAAGGGAACAUACCUCUCACUUCAAGCAUUUGGGAGAUCAGAGGCUAGCCCAAUGAAAUUGGGCCCAAGUCUUCUCCUGAAAGCUUCACCCAAGACCCAGGCUUUCAGCAGCAAUAUUCAGGCCUGGAGUUACGAAAUCUAGGAAUCCAUGGAUCAAUACAGUGUCAGGCAGAUCCAGGAUCCAACCCUAUGCCACUGAUUUGAGGAUUGUCCACUCCACGCCAUAUCAGGGAUGC